AUAGGUAACUUGAGCUGUUAUAUACAAAUGUUUGACGUCAAACAUUUGUAUAUAUUUGUAUAUAACAGCUCAAGUUACCUAUAGGC
rnacentral:miRNA from 1 species